UCUGAUUCACUUCUUUAUUGUAAAGAUUCUUCUCAAUCAGUUUUAUUGAUAUCUUUGAGAAUUUUGAGUAUUUGGACUAAGCCUCCAUACAGCCUCCUCUGAUCAACUUCCAUCUAGUGAAAUGAGCUGCCCACCGCCAUCUGAACUGCAGACUAUGUUAAAGACGUCUUUGAUGAGUCGCUUGUUCUGUGAAUGUCUCUCUAAUUGAUUAUGUCUUUGAUGUUAGAUUCUUAGUAGUUAAGAUGACAGUAACAAGUCUCGUCUUAUUCUGC